AUACGGAGGGUGCAAGCGUUACUCGGAAUCACUGGGCGUAAAGCGCGCGCAGGCGGGCUGAUAAGUUGGAUGUGAAAGCCUACGGCUCAACCGUAGAACUGCAUCCAAAACUGUCAGUCUAGAGUGUGGGAGAGGAAGAUGGAAUUAGUUGUGUAGGGGUAAAAUCCGUAGAGAUAACUAGGAAUACCAAAAGCGAAGGCAAUCUUCUGGAACACUACUGACGCCGAGGCGCGAAGGCGUGGGGAGCAAACAGGAUUAGAUACCCCGGUAGUCC
rnacentral:rRNA from 1 species